AUUAAAGAGCUCUUGUCUCCAUAUUGGAAACUGGCCCUGAUCACUGUGGCAGCACACUGAAGUAUGUGAUAAAUAAUUUAUGAACCUCGGAGGUCUGCUGUGGGGAGAUAUUCACCUUUGCUCCAUCCGUGCACCACACAUCAUGCGUCAGCGCCAACACGGGCACAUGCAGUUCUGCCUCAAGAUGUCAUCAAGAAGGCUGAUAAGAGAUGCCCAGUGCUCUCCUACUCCACAAAGGACCAAAACAAUUAGAAAACAACACAUCAAAUAGAGUGUAUAGGAGAAAACACUGGAAUUCAGCAAGAAAGUGAUAAAGACCUUCUGAUGCACAGAGACUGGAGAUGGCAGCAUAAAGAGGAAAGUGAAGAGCCUGGCUGGGAUCGGCUCAUCCCAAGAGACACUCCUCACCACACAGAAAGAGAUCCUAGAUUUGAAGGGGCGCCACCAGGAAGACGUUUGUGGGUAGGACACGUCUGUGGUGUAUUCAGAGUGCUUGGAAAGGCAGCGUGUUGACCCACAACAGAGCAGGCGGUUGGGGUUGUUCUGCAUGGAGACACAGGGCUGGAAAACGCUAACAGAAGCAGCUAUGUCAGGUCACAUUGGAUCUGCUUGUGAGGCCCACCUGCUCUCCCCAGAAGCCUGAAGUAUGUGAGUAAUGAACCUUUCAUACCCCCUUAGCUUGUGUGUGGCAUCAUCAGCCUCAACAUUCAAAUCAAACCUCAGGGGCCCAUAUGUCUUUGCAGGUGACCAUAACAUAUGGCAAGAAAAGAAAGCCUUUGCAGAUAUGAUUAUGUUCUCAAGAUGGGGAGAUCGUCCUGGAUUGUUCAGAUGGACCCUGAAUGCAAUCACACAUCACACAUAUUCUGUUACGAGAUGAGGAGGGAGAUUUUAGGGCACACAGAGGAGAAAGAGAUAUGAAGACAGAGCAGAGGGAGAUCAAAAAAUGUUGACCCUAAAUAUUGGAGUGAUGUGGCCACAAGCCAAUGAAUGCUGGCAGUCACCAGAAGCUGAGAGACAAGGAACCGGUUUCCUUAUGGAGCCACCAAGGGAGGGUGACAGUGCUGACACCCUGAUUUUGGCCCAUUGAUACUGACUGCAGACUUCUGGCUUCCAUAAUU
rnacentral:lncRNA from 1 species